AAAAAAAAAAAAACCAAAACCAAGCCAAACAAACAAACAAACAAAAUAGUGAGUGAGUGGGUGGGUGGGUGUUGUAAUCUUGCCUUUGAUAGAAGAAAUGUGAAAUAAUGUAUGACCACUUUUAUUUCAUUGCAAUUUGCUCUGCCUACAAAUUUAUAUUUCUUUCCUGUUUAAAAAAAAAAUCUACAGCAGUGAGAGUAGCAUAUGUUAAUGCUGUAGACAUUGUCAUUGAAAAGGAGACAGUCAGGAGAAAUGUUCAGUCCAUAUUCUCUAGUGAGUCUGAAAUUAAAUUGGGCAUAUGUAUUAGAGCCUCAGUCUGUUCUUGAGAAGUGUCUAGCUCUUUUCUCUAUUUUUGGUGCUCUUAAUUCAGUUAAGUUGGCCUUCCUUUUGCAUAAGAAAUUGUUCAGGAAUUAUACCUGUAGACUAAAUAGAGUGACCAUGUUGCCUUUCUGCCUCAAAUCAUCAACAGACAACAUAAAUCAAACCAUAAUUUUCAGGUAAGCAGAAUCAGAAUCAGAACAAAGUUUGGUGAUCUCUGAGAGACAGGAACAAGUGAGACAACUUGUCUAAGUCCUGUCCUAUCACUUUGAGUAUGUCCAUAAGGUGGGGGAUCCAGGAAGAACCUGUUGCAUUAUUCACCUUGAGUAUGUCCACAAGGCGGCGCGGGGGGGGGGGGGCAUCCAGGAAGAGUCUUUUGCAUCAUUCAACUUAAAGAAAAACAGUUUUCAGUACAGAGAUAUCUAGACCACAAGGCAGUUACUAAAGGAGAGUUUGCUAAACAGAGAUCUACAGGAGAUCUACAUUAGUGUAUAUAUGAGGAGGCAUUCUUUAGUUAAAGAUUAACCUACUUGAGAGUUAACAGUAACAUUGUUUAUCUACCAGAAUGUAAAAAUGUAUGAUUGACUGAGAUUAGAGAGGCAGAAUGUUAGCACAGAGUGUGGAAUAAUAGUUGUGAUAGUUUAGAAUUAUUGCUUCAAUUCUGAGUGCUGAUCUAGUUUAGAGAAACAGAUUUUAGAAGAGGCAAAGGUACGAAACUGUUUCCAAGCAAAUUAAUUGCAGUGUAGAACAAAGCUCAAAAGUAAAAAAAAAAAAUUCCAUUAAUCAGAACAUGUUGAAAUACCCAAUGUCCAAUUAAAAAAAAAAAAAGCCACACAAAGCACCAAAAUGGCAACUGCUUGGAUAAGUAUGUUUUGUUUUUUUUCUUUAGAAGAUAAGUACUAUUUAAACAAAAAUUAUGAGGAAUUUAUAGCAUCUAAAAGUAAAAUCAUAAAUAGUAGUGAAGAUAUGUAAAGGGAAGGAGUAGUAGAAGUUUGUUGCUCUAUUCUUGAAGUGUUAAUAACUUAAAUAUAGACUUUGGUAAGUUAAAAGUACAUGAAUACAAUUUCUAAAGAAGACCUUAAGGUUAAGAGAAAAAUAUAGUUGAAAAAGCAAAUAAAGAAGAUAAAAAAAUAUCAGGAGACUAGAAAAGCAAAGUACAAGUGAGACAAAUAAAAAAACAUUUUUUUACCCUUCACACACCAAUAAUAAUUUCCUCCUUUUGUGUAACAAAUUUCCACAAGACUUACAGCAACUUCUUUUACCUGUUUUCAUAGCAUCUGUGCCAGGACAUCAGGCACACUUAGUCAAGGUUGUGAUCAUUGCCAGGCAGGACAGGCUCUUCAUGUGGAAGCUGUACUGGUUAAAGAUCUCCUUUCUCACCUACAUGGUUGUUUGCUACAUUCAUAUCCUUUCAACCAGGAAGGAUAGCUUCAUGUGUUUUCCAUGCUGUUGGCCAUCUUCUAUGUAUGGCAUUAACAGUUCUUCACUACAUAUGUUUACCAACAUUGCCAGUUACUUCUUCAUAGUCAAUUCAAUAUCAGAGGGUUGCCUCUUUUCAGUGUCAGAAUCCCAACUUUGUGGCCCUGGCUAGCUAGAAGUUUUGGAACCCCACAGGGUUUGGAAUAAAGUUUGCUUCUGGUUAAUAAGCUUUGGUGGUCUGGUCCCCAUUAUUUGUGCAACCUCAAGACCUAACAGGCUUUGUGUCUUUCUUGGGGUUUCUAUGCUGUGAUGAAACACCAUGACCAUAAAGCAAGUUGGGAGGAAAGGGUUAAUUUGGCUUACACUUCAGCAUUGCUUUCCUCACUGAAGGAAGUCAGGCCAGGAACUUUUUGCAUGAAUCCUGAUUGGUCUUAUAAUAAAAACCCAGAGCCAGAUAUCAGGGUGAAAGCUGAAGGAUCAGAGAAACAGAGCAAGCCUCAGCCACCACCUCUUACCUCACCAGCUCCUUAGCCUGCCAGAACCAGUUCCUGUCUCUUCGCUCCUUAUAUUCCUUUCUCUGUCCAGCCAUAUCACUUCCUGUCUCAACCUUCCUAGUGCUGGGAUUAAAGGUGUAUGCCACCACCAACUGGCUCAGUUUCCAUUUUAUACUGGACUAAUCAAUCUCGUAGCCCAGUGUGGCCUUGAACUCACAGAAAUCCAGUUGGAUCUCUGCCUCUACCUCCAAAAGUGCUGAGAUUAAAGGUGUGUGCCACCACUGCCUGACAUCUAUGGCUGACUCUGGCUAGCUUUGUCCCCCGAUCUUCAGGCAAGCUUUAUUUUCUAGAAUAAAAACAAUAUAUCACCACAGGAAUUCAAACAGGGCAGGAACCCGGAGGUAGGAACUGAUGCAGAGGCCAUGGAUGGGUGCUGCUUACAGUCUUGCUUUCUAUGACUUGCUCAGCCAACCUUUUAGAACCCAGGACCAACAGCCCAGAAAUGUCACCACCCACCAUGGGCUGGGCUUUCCCCCAUUGAUCACUAGUUGAAAAAAAAAUGCCUUAGAGCUGGAUCUCAAGGAGGCAUUUCCUCAACUGAGGCUCCUUACUGUCAUGACUAACUUGGGUCAAGUUGACACAGAAAACCAGCCAGUGCAUUGGGUUUGCAUUUGGUCUAGUUGUUGGCUGAAAGGGUCCAGUGGAGAUCCCAAAAAACCCAGGCUGAUGCUAGGACAGAAGGUCGCUCUCGAAAACUGACAGUAGGAGAGGGACAACAUCCAUACAGAUCAUUGAAUGUGGAGAGGUUGAGCUGGUGCCUGCGUGGAGCUUUCACCCCUAUGUUCUAAUCUCUUUGGCACAAGAAUGUACUCUGAAGGCUAUAGAAACAGAAACCUGGAUACCAACCCAACCAUGAAACCUUCAACCUACAAUUUGUCCUUCCUGCAAGAAGUUCUAGGGCAAUGGUGGCCCAGAACUUGUGGGAGUGGCCAACCAAUAUUUGGUUUAAUUUGAUACAUGCACCACAAGAGGGUGCCCAUGUCCUACACUGCCUUGAUGGCCAGGAACUGGAGACUGGAAAGCACGGGGAUCUAGGGUAGAACCAAGCACAACUGGCAUACAUACAUACAGACAGACAGACAUACACACACACACACAUACCCACACACUUGUAUAUAUAUCAAUGAAAUGAUUCCUAAUGAUACUCUGCUAUAUUCAUGGGUCAGUGCCUUGUCCAGUUGUCAUCAGAGAGGCUUCUUCCAACAGCAGAGAAAAGUGGGUGCAGAGACCCACAGCCAGAUAUUAUGUAGAGAGUCUAAAUUGGAGGUUUCCAUGUUCCUUCCUGGAGGAACCCCACAGAAAAGAGGGAGGAAAGAUUGUAGGAGUCAGGGAAGGGAGAACAUGGCCCACUGAAUCAACUACUCGGGGCUUAUGGGCUCACAGAGACUGAGGCAGCCACUUCAGGGUAUGCAUGGGUUUACAGUAGGUCCUCUGUGCAUGUUACGACUGUUAGCUUGGUGUUUUUGUGGGACUGCUAACAGUGAGAAAAGAUGUAUCUCUGACUCUUUUGCGUGCUCUUAGGACUCUUCCUUCUAUUGGGUUGCCUUUUCCAGCCUUGAUAUGAGGGCUUUGGCCUUGUCUUAUUGUAUCUUGUUUUGACCUGUUUGGUUAUUGUCUCUUUAGAGGCUUGCUCCUUUCUGAAGGGAAACAGAGGGGGAAAAAAACCUAAGGAAAGGUGAGGUGGGAAGGGCUGUCAGGAGUGGAGGGAGGGGAAACUAGUCAGGAUGUAUCAUAUAAAAGAAUAUUUUCAAUAAAAAUAAUUUUUAAAAAUGGUGGACUCUUCCCUCAAGUUGUGAGCUAAAAUAAACUUCUUGGUUUUUUUUGUUUGUUUAUUUGUUUUCAGAAUAUUUUAUGACAACAGGAAAAGGAACUAAGACAAUAGUCCUUGGGAGCUUGUGCAGUCUUUGCUCUAAUAAAAUAAGGACUAGCAUAAAUGUUUCAAAUUGAUCAAACAACAAAUGAAAAAACAACACUAUUAGAAGUACCAAACAGGCCAAGACCUUUCAGAGAUUCCUUUGUAUAUUCUGUGAUACUUGCCAUAUUUCUCUGGGUAAGGCAGAAUUGGAGCAGAAAUUGUGGUCUUGUGUAUAUAUGUAUGUAUGUAUGUAUGUAUGUAUGUACAUAUGUAACUAUUUAUUUUAAGGCAAGAUCUUACUAUCUAGUUCAGGCUGGACUUAAACUCACUAUCUUUGUACAUUAGUCUCCUCAGUACUGUGACUACAGGUGCACACCUCCCUGCCUGGCAUAGAAAUGGCCCACGGUAUUUAUAUCCUCUUUAUUUUUAUUAUUUGUGGUUUUUUAAAUCAUUGGAAUGGAUUAGAUAAUAAUACUAGAGGGAAGAUCCAUGAAUUACUAACCACAUCAUAACUGUAGAAUUGUAUAUGCAUGUUUUCCUACCUGAGUUAAGUCCCAGAAGCUCAAGCUUCUUAAAUAUCCUUGUAUAUAUGCAUACUUAAAUAUGUGGGUACAUCUGCAUGUAAAGGCCAGAUCACAAGUCAGAUGUCUUUCUCUGUCUUUGCCUAUCUUCUUUCAGACAAAGUCUCACUAAUCUAUAAGCCCGCCACUUCCACUAGGCUGGCUGGCCUAGCCUUGGCCUUUUUGUGAUCAGCCUUCUUUGCCUUCCAAUGCUGGUAUUAUGUGUACACAGAGGCAUGCCCAUGGAUUCUGAUGAUUCAAGCUCAAGUCUUUCUACUUACUUAGAAUGUACUGUUACCAACUGGGCCAUCUCUUUGGGCCUCUUGAUAAAAAAUCUAAAAACUUUAGAAACUUUCAGUAAUUUCCAAAUGUCAUAAUCUAUACUAAAUAAUUUUUAUUCAUGAUUCAUUGGUUUAUUUUUAUUCAUUUGUUAUUUAUAUAUUACAUCCCAAACAUAGUUUCCCCUCCCUCCUCUCCUCCUAGUCCCUCACCCUCACCCCUUGCAUCCACUCCUGUCCAUUUCCCUUCAUAAAAGGGCAGGCCUCCUAGAGAUAUCAAUCAAACGUGGCAUAUUAAGUUGCAAUAAGACUAGGCACCUCCCCUCAUAUUAAGGCUGGAUGAGGCGACCCAGUGAGAGGAAAACGAUUCUAAAAGCAGCCAAAAGAGUCAGACAUAGACCUUGUUCCCACUGUUAGGAGUCCCACAACAAGACCAAGCUAUACAACCAUAACAUAUAUGCAGAGGGCCUAGGUCAGACCUAUGCAGGCUCUCUGAUUGUCAAUUCAGUCUCUUUGAACCCCUAUGGGCCCAGGUUAGUUGAUUCUGUGAGUUUUCUUGUGGUGUACUUGUUCCCUCUGGCUCUUAAAAUUAUUCCUCUCUGUCUUCCACAGGAUUUCGCUAGCUCCACUUAAUGUUUGACUCUGCAUCUCUGCAUCUGUUUCCAUCAGUUUCUAGAUGAAGCAUCUCUGAUGACAGUUAUGCUAGGCUCCUUUCUAUGAGUAUAGCAGAACAUCAUUAGGCAUCAUUUCAUUGAUGUUUUUGUGGUGGUGGUUGUUGCUGGUUGUGUUUCAUUCUAUUCUAGUUACCUGGGCUAUUCGGUCUCUGGUUCCUGGUCCUCCAUGCAGUGUCAGAGGUAGGUUCCCUUUCAUGGCAUGUGUCUCAAGCUGAACUCAUCAUUGGUUGGCCACUACCCUAAUGUCUACACCACCUUUACUACAGUAUAUCUUGUAGACAGGACAAAUUGUAGGUUGAAGUUUUUGAGGCUGGGUUGGUGUCCCAAUCCCUCCACUGGAAGUCUUGCCUAUUUACAGGGGAUGACCAGUUCAGGUUCAGUGCCCCCUUUACUAGGAGUCUUAACUAGGGCCACCCUCAUAGAUUGCUAGGAGGUUCCAUUGCUCUAGGUGUCUACCUUGCUUCUGUAAUGCCUCCCAAUUCCAAUUGUCUCUCCAAGUACUCCCUUGCUCCAUCUCCCCCCCCCCCAACCUGUUCCCUCCUGUUCUGGUCCCUAUCCACUCCUAGUCCACCUGUGAUAUGUAUUCUUUUUAUGCCUCCCAGGGACAUUUGUGAAUCCUCCCUUAAGCCCUCCUUGUUACUUAGAAUCUGGGUCUGUGGAUUGCAGCAUGGUUAUCCUAUACUUUACAACUAAUAUACACUUAUAAGUGAGUACAUACCAUGUUUGUCUCUCUGGGUCUGGGUUACCUCACUCAGGGUGAUUUUUUUUCUACUUCCAGCCAUUUUUCUAACAGUCAAGUAAUACUCCCUUGUGUAAAAGUACCACAUUUUCUUUAUUCAUUCUUCAGUUGGGAGACAUCUAGCUUCUUUCCAGUUUCUGGCUAUUAAAAAUAAAGCUGCUAUGCUAUGAACAUAAUUGAACAACUGUCCUUGAGAAGAAUGAAGCAUCUCUUACAUAUAUGCUCAGGAAUGAUAUAACUAGGUCUUGAGGUAGAUCAUUUCCCAAUUUUCUGAGGAACUGCCAUAUUGAUUUCCAAAGCAGUUGUACAAGUUUGCACUCCCACCAGCAAUGGAAUAGUGUUCCUCUUGCUCCACAUCCUCACUAACAUGAACUGUCAUUUGUAUUUUUGAUCUUAGCCAUUCUGACAGUUGUAAAGACAGAAUCUCAUAGUUGUUUUAAUUUGCCUUUCCCUGAUGGCUAAGGAUGCUGAACAUCUCCUUAAAUGUUUCUUGGCCAUUUGAGAUUUCUCUCUUGAGAAUUCUCUGUCUAGAUAUUUACCCCAUUUUUUAAUUGGAUUGUUUGGUUUGUUGAUGUUUAGUUGAGUUCUUUGUAUAUUUUGGAAAUUAGCCCUCUGUCAGAUGUGGCGAUGAUGAAAGUCUUUUCCCAUUCUGUAGGCUAUCAUUUUGUUCUAUUGAUGAUGUCCUUACAGAAGCUUUACAGUUUCAUGAGGUCCCAUUUGUUAAUUGUUAAUCUUAGUGUCUGCACUAUUGGUGUUCUGUUUAGAAAGUUGUCUCCUGUGCCAGUGUGUUCAAGGCUAUUCCCUGCUUUCUCUUCUAUCAGGUUCAAUGUAUCUGGUUUUAUAGUAAGGUCUUUGAUCCACUUGGUCUUUGUGCAGGGGGACAGAUAUGAAUCUUUUUGCAUUUUUCUACAUGAAGACAUCCAGAUAGACCAGCACCAUUUGUUGAAGAUGCUUUUUUUUUUUUUUUUCCAUUGUAUACUUCUGGCUAUUUUGUCAUAAAUGAGGUGUCCAUAGGUGUGUGGAUUUAUAUCUCAUUCUUUGAUUCAAUUCCAAUGAUCAACAUACCUAUUUUUAUGGCAAUACCAUGUGGUUUUUAUUACUAUAGCUCUGCAGUAGAGCUUGAAAUCAAGGAAGGUGAUACCUCCAGAAGUUCUUUUGUCAUAUGGGAUUGUCUUAGCUAUCCUGGGUUUUUUGUUUUUUUCAUAUGAAUUUUAGUACUGUUCUUUCAACAUUUCUAAAGAAUUGGGUUGGGAUUUUAACAGGGAUUGCAUUGAAUCUGAAGAUAGCUUUUGAUAAGAUGGCCAUUUUUACUAUAUUAAUCCUACCAAUCCAUGAGCAUGGGAGAUCUUUCCAUCUUCUAAUAUUUUCUUCAAUUUCAUUCUUCAGAGGCUUAAAAUUCUUGUCAUACAGAUCUUCCCUUUGAUCAGUUAUGUCAUGUUAUGAUUGUUAUAUGUUAUGUUAUAUUAUCUGUGACUAUUGUGAAAGGUGUUUCUCUUGUUUCUUUCUUCGCCCAUUUAUCAUUUUUAUAUCGGAAGGCUACUUACUGAUUCUUUUGAGUUAAUCUUGUAACCAGCCAUUUUGCUGAAGGUGUUUAUCAACUAUAGUUUCCUAGUAGAAUUUUUGGUAUUGCUUAUGUAUACUACCAUAUCAACUGCAAAUAAUGAUACUUUGAUUUCUUUUUUUCUAAUUUGUAUCCCCUGGAUUUUCUAUUGUUGUCUUACUGCUCUAACUAGAACUUCAAUUACUAUGUUGAAUAAAUAUGGAAAGAGUGGACAGCCUUGUCUUUCUUCUGAUGUAAGUACAAUUGUUUUCAGUUUCUCUCCAUUUAAUUUGAUGUUAGCUGUAGGCUUGUUGUAAAUUGCCUUUAUUAUGCUUAGGUAUGUCCCUUGUAUCCUUGAUCUCUUUGAAGACUUUUAUCAUGUAAUGGUAUUGGAUUUUGUCAAAGGCUUUUUUAACAUCUACUGAGAUGAUCAUGUGAUUUUUUCUUUCAGUUUGUUUAUAUGGUGGAUUACAUUGAUAGAUUCUCAUAUGAUGAACCAACUCUGCAUCUCUGGGAUGGAGUCUACUUCAUCAUGGGGAAUGAUCUUUUUUAUGUGUUCUUGGAUUUGGUUUGUGAGUAUUUUAUUGAGUACUUUUGCAUCAAUGUUCAUGAAAUUUGGUAUAGAUUGGUCUGUAAUUAUCUUUCUUGUUGAAUCUUCAUGUGGUUAGGUGUCAGGGUGACUGUGGCCUCAUGAAAAGAAUUUGACAUUGUUACUUCACAUUUCUAUUUUGUAUCAUAAUUUGAGUAGUAUUGACAUUAGUUCUUCUUUGAAAGUUGUAGAAUUGUAGAAUUCUGCACUAAAAUUUUGUGGCCCUGGACUUUCUUUUGGUUGGGAGACUUUUUAAUGACUGCUUCUUUUCAUAAGGGGUGAUAGGUCUAUCUAAAUUGUUUAUCUGAUCUUGAUUUAACUUUGGUAAGUGGUAUCUAUCAAGAAAAUUGGGCAUUUCUUUUAGGUUUUCCAAUUUUGUGGAAUAGAUUUUUGAUGUAUGACCUUGUCAUUCUUUGUAUUUCCUUAGUGUCUAUUGUUAUAUUCCCCUUUUUGUUUCUGAUUUUGUUAAUUGGAAUAUUCUCUCUGUGUUUUUUAAUUAGUUGGGAUAAGGUUUCCUAUCUUGUUGAUUUUCUCAAAGAACCAACUUUGCUUCACUGAUUAUUUAUAUUGUUCUCUUUUAUUGAUUUCAGAUUAUUUUCUGCCUAUCUACUCCUCUUUGGUGUGUCUGCUUUUUAUUCUAGAGAUUUCAGGUGUGUUGUUAAGUUACUAUUAUGAGAUCUCUCUGAUUUCUUUAUGAAGGUAAUUAAUGCUAUAAACUUUCCUUUUGGAAACUUUAAUUGUGUCCCAUUAGUUUAGGUAUGUUGUACAUUCAUUUUCAUUGAAUUCUAGGAAACCUUUAAUUUCUAUCUUUAUUUCUGCUUUGACUCAGUAGUCAUUCAAUAGAGAGCUGUUCAGUUUCCAUGAGUUUGUAGGCUUUGUGUUGUUUCUGUUGAUGCUGAAAUCCAGUUUUAAUCUGUGGUUGUCUGAUAGGACAGAGGGGUUGUUUCAAUUUUCUUCUAUCUAUUGAAACUUGCUUUGUGACUGAGUAGAUGUUCAAUUUUGGAGAAAGGUCCCUGAGUGCGGAGAAGAAGGUAUAUUCUUUUCUGUUUGAGUGAAAUGUUCUGUAGCUAUUGAUUAUGUCCAUUUGAGUUAUAAUGUCUCUUGGCUCUAGUAUUUCUUUGUUUAGAUUUGUCUGAAUGACCUGCCCAUUGGUGAGAGUCGGGUAUUUAAAUCUCUCAGUAUUAAAGUAUGGGGUAAAAUGUAUGAUUUAAGUUUUAGUAAUGUUUCUUUUACAAAUGUGGGUGCCAUUGCAUUUAGGGCAGAGAUGUUCAGAAUUGAGAUCUCAUCUCGGUGGAUUUUUCCUUUGAUGAGUAUGAAGUGUCCUUUCCCAUCUCUCUUGAUUAAUUUUAGUUUUAAGUCUCUUUUACUAGAUACUAGAAUGCUACACCACUUGCUUCUUGGGCCCAUUUGUUUGUAAAAUCUUCUUCUAACCCUUUACUCUGAGGUAAUGUCUCUUUAUUGUUGAGGUAUGUUUCCUUUAUGCAGCAGAAGGAUGGAUCCUGUUUGAAUCCAUUGUAUUACCUGUGUCUUUUCAUCGGGGAACUGAGUCCACUGAUAUUGAAAGAAAUUAAUGACCAAUGAUUGUUAAUCCCUGUUAUUUUGUUGUUGUUGGUAGUGUGCAUGCAUGCAUGUCUGUGUGUGUGUGUGUGUGUGUGUGUGUGUGUGUGUGUGUGUGUGUGUGUGUGUGUGUUUUCAUUCUUUAGGUUAUACUGGUUUGAGAUUGUUUAUUUCUUGUGUUUUUGUGGGUGUAGUUAAUUUCCUUGAAUUGGAGUUUUUUUUCCAGUACCUUUUGUAGGGCUGGAUUUGUGGAUAGAUAUUGUUUAAAUUUGACUUCAUCAUGGAAUGUCUUUUUUUCUCCAUGUAGGGUGACUAGAAGUUUUGUUGGGUAUAAUAGUCUAUGCUGGCAUUUGUGGUCUCUUAGAGUCUGUCUACAGGACAUCUGUCCAGGCCCUCUGUCUUUUAGAAUCUUCAUUGAGAUGUCAACUGAUAAUAAAAAAAAAUAAAAUAAAAUAAUUUAAAAAAUGUUCAACACAACAUUUGGAUAUUGGUUGAUGUCAUAAUACUGUUUGUUAUCUGGUUAGGUUCAAGCCAGUGACUUUAUCCCUUGUAAAUUUCUGUUAAAGAUUUAUGUAAAGUAUUCCAUUCCUUCCCCGUGUGAUGCUUCCUGUGCAGCUCAAUAAAUAGAGCAGAAAAAGAAAAAAAAAAGAUGUCAGGUGUAAUUCUAAUAGGUCUGUCUUUAUACGUUAGUUGGCCUUUUCCCCUUGCAUCUUUUAUUAUUCUUUUUUUGUUCUGUAUGUUUAAUAUAUUGAUUAUUAUGUGGCAGGGAAGAUUUUCUUUUUCUGGUUCAGUCUAUUUGAUGUUCUGUAAACUUUUUGUACUUUUAUAGGCAUCUCCUUCUUUAGGUUAAGAAUAUUUUUUUCUGUAGUUUUGUUGAAAAUAUUUUCUGGGCCUUUGACUGGGAUUCUUCUCCUUCUAUUCUUAUUAUUCUUAGUUUUGAUCUUUUCAUAGUAUCCCAGAUUUCCAGGAUGUUUUAUAUCAGGAACUUUUUAGAUUUAACAUUUUCUUUGACCAAUGUAUCAAUUUAUUCUAUCAUUUUCUACACCUUAUAUUCUUUCUUCCAUUUCUUGUAUUCUAUUGGUUAUACUGUGUUUGUUGUUCCUGUCCACUUAUGUAUGGUUGUUGUUGUUGUUGUUGUUUACCAUCUCUAGAGUUCCCUCAGUUUAUGUUUUCUUCUAUUUCCAUUUUCAGGUUUUAGAAAGCUUUAUUCAUUUCCUUCAUCUGUUUUUUUUUUCCUUCUUCUUCUUGGCCCUCUUUAAGGGAUUUAUUCAUUUCCUCCAAUUGUUCCAAUUGUUUGUUUGUAUUCCCAGAAUUCUUUAAAGGAUUAUUUAUUUCCUUUUUAAGGAUCCCAUAGUCUUCAUAAAGUUGGCUUUAUAGUCAUUUUCUUGGACUACUACGGUAUUGAAAUAUUCCAGUGUUGCUGUAGUGAGAGAGCUGGGUUCUGGAGGUGCCAUAUUGCCCUGGCUGUUGAUUGUGUUCUUGUACUAGUGUCUAGGCAUCUGGGUUUGUAAUGAAUGUAGGUCUAGAAACUUAUUUUUGAGUUUGUUUUUUUUAGCUGGGUAUUUUGUUCCUUGGUUUCUAUUAUUGUGGUAUAUAUGUGUGGUGGCCAGUGUGACCUCUGAUCCAUCAAGGAAUCUCCAUCAGAGUUGAGGGCUGGACUUCUGGCAGUUAGUGUGGCCUUUGGUCCAGCAGGUGAUCUCUGUUCUUAUGGUUAGUGUGGCCUGCACUUGAGCAAUUCGUAACCUCCGAGGAUAUGGGAGGGGCAUGGCAGCUGUGGUGGGUGGUGGUGGCAGUGGUGUCAGCAUCUUGGGUCUUUUGGCUCUGAACCAAGGGCCUGGAAGGGUUCAGAUGGCAUGUGGGGCUCUUAACUGUUCUGGCUGUCCUGGCCUGCACCUAUUGCAGGGGGAUAUGCCCCCUAGCUGGGGUUAGGGGCACAGGGGUGAAGGCUUGGAAAGGGGUGUCUGUGGAUGAAUCUUUGGCUCCAAACCAAGUGGGUGGGAGGGCUCACACUGUAGGUGGGGCACUUACCUCUUCUGGUUGGUAUGGCAUGCACCUGAGCAGCAGGUAUCCAUUGGUGUUUCCUAACUAUAGAAUCAUUAUCUGGGAUUUAUUGGUAUAAAGUAUGCAGCACCAGAAGUUUUUUACAUAGUGAAUGCCUUUAAUCAUUUAUUUUUCAAAUAGGCAGUUUCCACUAAGACAUGUUUUGAUGAGAAAUGGUAAGAUAUGCCCAUUUUAUAUUAGUCACCUUCAGUGUUCUGAGUGUUAAUGUGAUCAUCAUUUACAAAACAAUCAUAUUUUAUUAUAAUCAUGAUUGCUACUGCAGCUUGAUGUCAGAUUCUAGUUAUUAGAUGUUGUGUAUAGAUCAACAAGUGAGUUAAAUUUUUCAGUGUGAAAUCAAGUAAUUAAUAAAUUCCCUGUUUGCUUUCUGUUCUGGGAGACCAACUUCCAUAUGGUCAUUAUUUGCUAACAUUCCAGACUAUCAUGGUAAGUGGAGUUUUGCCUAGCAGAAAGUCUUAGAUCAAGAAUUUGAGGAUGCAGGACCCAGUUAUACCACUCUUGGGCAUAUACCCAAGGAAUGCUCAAUCUUACCACAAGGACACAUGCUCAACUAUGUUCAUAUCAGCAUUAUUCGUAGUAGCAAGAACCAGGAAACAACCUAGAUGCCCCUCAACUGAAGAAUGGAUAAAGAAAAUACAGCACAUAUACACAAUGGAGUACUACUCAGCAGUAAAAAACAAUGAUAUCAUGAAAUUUUCAGGCAAAUGAAUGGAACUAGAAAAUACCAUCUUGAAUGAGGUAACCCAGACUCAGAAGGACAAACAUAGUAUGUACUCACUCAUAAGUGGAUACUAAAUGUGAGGGAAGGGAUGGCCAGACUGCAACCCACAAUGCCAGAGAGGCUAGCCAACAGGGAAAGACCCUAGGAGAGACACAUGGAUGACUCUGCGAAGGAGAAGUGGAUGAGAUCUACAUGAGUGGACUGGGCAUGGGGGUGUGGCAGAGGGCGAGGAGUGGGGGAUGAGAACAUAGGGAAAUGGGAGGAUCAAACUGGAACAGGGACAGAGAGGGAGGGCAGGGAGGAAGAUACCAUGAUAGAGAGGACAUCAUGGGAAUAGGAAGAUGCAGGGUGCUGGGGAGGCUCUCAGGAAUCCACAAGGUUGACCCCACCUUGGUCUGCUGGCAGUGGUCCAGAGGGUGCCUGGACCAGUCUACUCUAGUGACUAGCCUAGCAAAUAACCUAGCUGUCAUCAUAGAGCCUUUGUCCAGUGACUGAUGGAGGCAGAUACAGAGAUCCACGGCCAGGCACCAGGCUGAGCUCCGGAAAUCCAAUUGAUGAGAGAGAGGAGAGAUAUUGCAGGUGAAGGACAUCGAGAUCAUGAUGGGAGGAUGUGCAGAGAUGACCAGCCACACUAGUGGAAGCCCAUGAAAUGUGGACUGUUGGCUGUGGAGCCCCCAUGGGACUGGACUAGGCCCUCUGGAUACGGAAGAUGGUUGUUUGGCUCAAACUGUUUGGGGGGCACCCAGGCAGAGGGAUUGGGAUCUGUCCCUGGUGCAUGGGCAGGCUUCUGGAACCCAGUGCUUGUGGUGUGACACCUUGCACAGCUUUGGUGCAGUGGGAACGGGCUUGGACCUGCCUAGGCUCAGCAUGCUGGGCUCUGCUGACUCCCCUUGGGAGACCUUGAUUUGGGGGAUGUGGGGAUGCGGAGUGGCUUGGGAAAGAGGGCUGGGAGGAGGGAGGAGGGGAAUCUGUGGAUAGUAUGUGGAGUGAGUAGAAAAAUUCUUAAGAAAGAAAAAUGAAAGAAAAAAAAGAAUUUGAGGAUGAACUGCUCUAUGCAUCACCUUUACUUUGCAUCCUGAGAGUCACUAUCAUAGAGAAGUGGCAUUUAUAUAUUAGCAUUUAUUUGUUUGGUUUUUAGACAGUCAUGUAGCCCAGGCUAGCCUCAUACUCAUUCUGUAACCGGGGAUGACCUUGAGUUUCAGAUCCUCCUACCUCUACCUCCUGAGUGCUUAGAUCACAGGUAUAUGCCACCAAGCCCUAUUGUAUGUGGAACUGGGGAUCAAACUCAUGCUUUCAUGCAUAAAAGACAAGCAUUAUGACUGAGCUUGGCCCAGUUUUUAAAACAUCUAAUAGAAUGUCCUGCUUUCUUGAAUUUAUCACAUUUAUCAUCCGCUUUGUUUUUGUGUGUAGCUCAAAAAAAUGAAGAGCAAAGCAUCAUUGUGUUAAUUAUUAAAUUACUGAGACUACAUGAGGUGUUCAUGGUACUCAGAGAAUAUUAAUCUUCCAGUAAAUAGGAAAUACCCUGCUCACUUUUAAGAUUUUAUUUAAAUCUUUCAUGGCAUCUGUUAACUUUCAUCUAAAUGAAAUUAAAGUAGGCCUUGUACAAGUCAAUAACCAACAAAUCUGAAUGCUCAUGGUAGCAUAUUAUGUGUUAUUAAAAGACAAAUAAUUACAAAGCAUUUAUUAUAGCUUAAUAUCUUUGCAGUCCAAAGAACUUCCACGAGUAAGACAUUAUCCUUGAGCUUUCACACAGUCAUUUACAUACCUAGUACACUUGGAUUUAUGCUGUGUCUGAGCUCAAAAGGAGCCAAACAUAUUAAGUACAAAAUAUAGGCAUGCUUUCAUGAGUGAACGUUAAAAUUAUGGUAAGGAAUGGAGUUAUGUAUCAGAAUACUAGAAGAUGUAAAUGUAUAUUUAUAUUUUAUCUGCCAUAUAUACUUAAAUGUUGUCCUUUUGUAACCAAAAUUCUAUCUUUUAACAAACAAGCUGUCUUAGUUAAUUUUUUGUUCUGUGGUAAAAACUAUGAGAAAAACAACUUAAGAAAGGAAGAGUAUAUUUUGGUUCACAAUUCAGUCCAUCAUGGUAGAGAAGUCACAGCAAUAGGAGUUUAAGGCAGAUAGUCACAUUGCAUCUACAGUGAAGAAGCAGAGAACCAUGAAUUCCUGUGCUCAGCUAGUUUUCCCAUUUCUUAAUGCCCAGUCUCAGCCUACUUUUAGGAUAGGUCUUACCUCCUUAUGAUGGUUUGAAUAGGAAGGACCCCCACUGACUCAUAUGUUUGAAUACUUGGCCAAUAGGGAGUGGCACUAUUAGGAGGUAUGGCCUUGUUGGAAUUGGUGUGGCUUUGUUGGAGGAAGUGGGCUUUGAGGUCUCAGAAGCUCAAGCAAGUUCUUUUCCUGAUGCCUGUGAAUCAAGAUAUAGAACUCUCAGCUCCUUUUCCAGCACCUUGCCUGUCUGCAUGUCAUCAUGCUUCUCAAAUGGACUAAACAUCUGAACUUUAAGCCAACCCCAAUUAAAUGUUUUCCUUUAUAAGAGUUGCUGUGGUUGUGGUGUCUCUUCACAGCAAUAGAAACCCUAAGACAUUCUUCAAUAUGAAAUUGGCAUAAUCUCACAUGGUCUAAGAAUCCCUCACAGGUGUGCCUGAAGUCCUAUCUCUUAGGUGAUCCUAGAUGCUGUCAAGUUGACAAUGAAUACUUAACACCUACUAUAGGAGCCUAGCUCAGAGGAACAUUCAUAGAUCUUAACAGAAUCCAGAAUCACACACUGUCAGUCUUUAACCCUCAACCUGAAGAGAACUGUAUUGUUCAGGAUCCUCUCAUUUGGACACAAAAAUGAUCACAGCCUUUUAUUCUUAUAUAGGUUCCUAGUUACUAUGUAUUCAUGUUCUAGCAAACUUCAAAGCUAUAAUCCAGAAGGACUGUAAUCUAGAUGUAAUUACUGUAGUGAGUUCCUUUAAUAAAUACUUUUUGAGUCCACAAUAAAUCUGUGUUAUGCUUAAUUUUAUGUUAUUGUUAAGAACAAACUUUAGAGAGUUUUCCAUUUCCGUUUAUUUUUAACAAAGCAAAAUUGCCAGGAUUUUAAGUUUAUACACUCUACUUCAAGCUAUUUGAUAUGAGACUGUUGAAUCUUGAUCUAGUUAGAAAUAAAUAGUGUGUUCUUAUAAUUUAUUCUAUUUUUUACAUUUCUUGGUUAGUUAUCAACCUUUUUAGCGUUUUAACUUUCACAUUAAACAAACGUCUACACAAAGCCAUAAACAUCUAUUGUCUUUCAAAGCUAAAAAUAGACAAUAAAAGGCUUAAUUAGUCAUUCAUGUGCAUUUCUAUACCAUCCUAGCAAGACUGAAUAAUAAAUGAGAGUUUUAUAUGACUUCAGACAUCCCUGUACUUCAACUGUAUCAUGUCAGUCAAGGCAGGAUGAGAACAGUUUUAUUCAUGUCCCUCACCUUAGGCCACCCCUUGCUAUUUGCUCUUCUCUCUCUCUCUCUCCCCCUCUCCCCCUUUUCCCCUCUCCCCCUCUCCCCCUCUCCUCCUGUCCUCCUCUCCCCCUCCAGAGUGAGAGUUUUGAGACAGAGUUUCUCUGUGUAACAGCUGUGACUGUCCUGGAACUUGUUUUGUAGAGAGUAGGCUCACCUCAAACUCAUAGAGAUCUGCUUACCUCCCAAGUGCUGAGAUUAAAGGCAUUCACCACUGCCACCUGGACUUUCUACUCUUUUUGAGGGGAGGGUAUUCUUUCUCUAUAGCACCUCCAACUUCAUAAUGUCAAUUCUUUUACCCUUUAGUUGCACAGUCAUGCUUGUCAGCAGAGUUGCUGUUCUCCUUGGUUCAAAGGUUGAAAAAGCAGAGACUAAACAGUGUCCCUGACCAGUCACAGAAACAAGCCUAAGAAAAAACAAGGAUUUUAUGCUAUGAUGGAAUACUCAGAUGAACAGCAAUUUAGAGGAGAAAGAUUGGGCUGCAAUCACUGUUUGUGGCAUUGCUCUGUGGAGAUCUCUGCCUCAGAACCACAAGGCUGUGAGACAGAAACAGCCUUCUCUUUUAUCUUCCUGAAAGUAGGCUUCUUGAGCCAGGCUAGAGAAUGACCCAGGUCUUUUCACAUCAAGACAUUGAGUGCAAACAAAAAGCAUUGGGAUCCUUGGGGGGCAGUGUGCAUGACACACACUUUAAGCUCCUAAGGACUGUAGUGGGUAGCUAUUCCAGCUUUGACCUGGAAGUACUACCCCCAUUGAGGCUUUGGUAACUGCAUACAAGGCAGGGCUGAGGCAGGAGCCCUUAAGACCCAAGAUCUGGAUGUGCUGGCUGGCUCUCUUGGUUCCUGGAUCCUGGACACUGGAGGUAGACUGAGCAGAGUUUUCCAGAGAACACCGCUCGACUGUGCUAUACCUUUCCUGGACCUUGUAACCCAUCCCUUUACUUGUAAGUUACCCCACAAAAUAAACCUCCCUUUUAACUACAUGGAGUUGCCUUAAUACAACCAAUAGAGGACAUGUUGGCCAAUUAGUCAAUGGGGAAAGAGUGCCAUGCAGAUUACUGUCAAUCAUUUUAUCGUCCCUUUUUGUACUUUUUAUUUAGAGAAGAAAUAAUAAUCCAAUAUUCUCCAUCUAGAAUUCUUGAAUAAUUUGCAAUUCAAUCCUUAUAAUAUGCUAUAUUUUAGACACUAUAUUCUGUUUUCCUGGACUGUCUGGGAAUUGGAUUAUCUGAUAACUUUUAUGCAUUAAAGAGAAAACAAGAAACUUGGGUUGGUUAUUGCCAACCAAAGAAAAUCAAAACAUUCUUUUGGGCUACUUUUAAGUGAUUGCCUCAUCUCCCAUAGCUUUCCAAACUACAUUUAAAAUGUCAGAACUUUGUAGAAGACUAAAUCUGAAGUUUAAUGUCUUGCAACACAAGUCAAGCUUCUAGCAGAAAGAGAUCCUGGGAUCAGGGUUGAGAUCUUUAGACAGAGAGACUCAAGAACUGGAAAUUCUGCCUCCUUGUAAAUUUCUGCACUGAAGAGUGAAGCUUCUUCUUGACCAUCAUGGACCAGGUCACAUCAAAAACUGGUGCCAUGCUAGGAAAUGUUCUUUUUCUUUAGAGUCAGUCCUUACCUUCUUCAUAAACAUUCAAUUCAGCAGGGACAUACUUAAGCAUGAGCUGACAGAGAAAAUGAAAGUUCUGCUAGAUAUGAAUGGAGGUUAUAGGAACUUAGUGGCUUGGAGAUUAUGCUGUGAUAAAGCAAGAUAAUGCACAGGUUCUUGCAUCUUCUAUUCUUAUUGAAGCUAUUUCGUGUUUAACAAGAAUUUUAUGUCCUUGAUGAAGAAACCCAUGGAAAAUUACACAACCCUAUUUAGGGACCAAAGUUCACACUGUCCUAGGUAAAUUAUCUUAGCUUCUGUCAAACAACCUAUUUAUAAGGAACCUAGCUAACAACUUAUCUUAGCUUCUAUUAAAAUUGCUUACUUCUGUUAAGCCCCCCUGUGCAGAUAUUGAGUGAGAUGCCAGGAGUUGGUUUCUGCCUUUAAUAACCCCAUGUUUUUGACAUUCCUAAGAUGGGAGGGAUAUAAAGUUUGCUAAGGUAGGUUUUAGUGAAAUGAGUGGCUCUUUCCACUUUGGAAGUUGAUACCCUCAUGUUGAGAAAUGUUCUCUAUGAUAUGAUAGCAAUUGUAAAUUUGGAGAAAGCAGUGGCUAGAUUAAUGAGUAAUUUUCAUCAUAGAAAAUUUACAAAUAAGUCCUUUCAAAGAAAUCCUCUAAAUCACUCUGUUCUUUGCUGCAAACAGUGUUUUGACAUAUUAUUUCCUGUACGUGUAUUAGGCUGAGUUUUCUAGAGGAACAUAAUCAACAGAAUGUAGCUAUAUUAUAAAAAGUAUUUAUUGGAUUUAUUUAUAGGAUAGGGGAUGAGUAGUUCAACAAUGGUAGCCUGUGUGAACAAAAACUCCUGAAAAGAAGCUGCCUCUGGCUGUGGAUGGAGAACAGAAAACCCCUGAAAGGAAUCUGAAAUCAUAAAUCUCAUUAAUCUUAUCAAUAAAAACCAGGAGUCAGAUAUCAGGGUAAAAACCUGAAAGAUCAGAGAAGCAGAGGAGCAGCCAUCAAUGACUUCAUACCUCUUCUGUUCCUCUGAUCAAAAGGGCUGAGAUCCUGCCUCAGCCCCCACUUACCACUCCCUGUCCAUCUCUCUACAGUCUUCAAAACCUCUAUGGUUAACUAGUAGCUAGCUCUGCCCUCUGACUCCAAGCAAACUUUAUUUAUCAAAAUACAAACAAGAUAUCAUAUAGCAGAAUCCAUCUGCAGAGACUGAUUAGAAUUUCAGUGCACUGGAGAGACUGGAAUGCUGCAAGUCCAGAGGCUAAUUACUUUAUCUUGAGCUAGAUUCUGGCCCUCCAGAAAAAGCCACCCACCCUCUGUCAGAACGAACUCUUAUAAUUUAAAAAUGGCAGACAAGAUUGGACAGAUACAUCAUGUGACAUGGCUCAUAUGGAGGGUUUAUUGGAAGGGUGGGGGAGAAGGAAAAGAUUCAUAGUCCAGCCCCUGGAGAUAAGAGCUGAGAAGGAAGGAAGGCAAGGGCCUGCCUUUUAUGAGGCAAUGUAGUGCAUGUGCACAGAGACCACAUAGCAAAACACAUGUGUACAGACUACAUAGUGAGGUAGGGGCCAUAGGAUCCUGGGCUGGCCAAUAUAACUGCCUGAGUACUGACAAGUGCAUGUGUAUCCUGCCAGGUCUCCAAGGGCAAGCCAGUGCUGGUGCCUGAAUGCUAACGUUCCUCCCUGUUGUUUACUCUAAAAGGUGAGGAAAUAGAAACAGGUGGCAGGUGAAGUGGGAAUGAGGGCACCAAGUUCUUGAGAUUGCUUUCUUUUGACCUGAAGGGUAUCAGCAUCUUUGGGGGACCUGAGAAGAUUGGGAUGCUGAGAUGGCAUCUUGGGAUAGCUGGUUGUUUCACUGCUGUCCAUGCUUUGUGGGGACCAUCUGACAGUGCUUGGACCCAGCAAGAUGCUGUCAGAGCAGAAGAUAAAAAUUUAGCCAAAUUUUUUUUUAUUUUCUUAGGUCUUCGUAAUUGAGGGAGGGGAGUCUUAAAACCAGGAAAAGGUGAAGGGGCUCAGGCUGUUGAUUGAUAGUACUUAAUUGAGGAGUGCAUCUGAACUGUUCAAGGUGGAUCUAAGUUGACUCUCUGGAGCUUACAAGAAUUCUUUGAGUUUGUGAAAAGAUAUUUUAGACACAUUAGCAUUCCCACUGUUUAUAAUUCAUAGUGAAUUUUACAUUGUAGAAACUCAUGCCUUUGAGUCAUAAGGGACCCAGAAAUGAUUCUGAUUGAAGACAUUAACACUCUCUUUCUAUCCAGAAAACUGUGACAAAUGUUUAUAGCACAAUGAAAGGCACCUUUUAAGUCUAUAGUUAGAAAACAACCAAAGGGAAUUUAAAAUCCUGAGCUUGUGGCUAUGAUCAUUUAAUGGUAAUAUGAUGCUUAGUACUGUGCCAUUAAUAGCUUAUCAGAAUUCCAUCGGUUAAUGUUAGGGCUAUGGACUGUUGGUAUCUUAAUGUACCAGUAGCAUAUCGAGAAAGAGAAAUCUGGAACAUGUUCUAUUCUUUUAUACAUCUCAAAUCACUUUUUCCAUAUCACAACUUAAGCUUUUCUAUCUUCACAUGAAUAAACCUUAAAGCACCCUCUUUUUAUCUAAUUUUCCAGGAGAUACAGGUGGCUAACUACUGAGAGUAGUCACUGCAAAGCAAGUUCCUUAAAUAAAGGAAUCGUAAGAAGUUACAUUGAAAUCUGUUUUGUGAGUUUAUUUCUUUUUUCUUUUUUUUGUUUUUGUUUUUGUUUUUUUGAGACAGGGUUUCUGUGUAGUUUUGGUUCCCAUCCUGGCUCUUGCUCUGUAGACCAGGCUGGCCUUGAACUCACAGAGAUCUUCCUGGCUCUGCCUCCUGAGUGCUGGGAUUAAAGGUGUGCACCACCACCACCUGGCCUUUUUUUUUGAGUCUUGUAGCAAGGUAAACUGUGUAUAGACUUAGCAUUCACUCUAAGAGGGUGAGGCCUGUUAUCUGAAUUUUACACAGAGAACUGAGAAGGCAGCAGAAGCCUUGUUUCUGCUUUUAAACUGACAAAGCUAAUACUAGCCUAGUCAUCAAACAGUAUCAGAGUUCUGAGAAGGAUAAAUUUUACCCAAGUUAGUGAUUAAAAAUGGCAGAGACUUACUUGCUGCCUAUCUAGACAGCGACCCCAGAGUCCUCCAUGGUUGUUGAGGGAAAAGGCCUUAGGGCAACAUCAGUCUUCCACUGCUAGGUCCAGAAGAUCUGACAGACUUUCCUAUGGAGUAGGAACUUAUAGGAGGGCCAGUCUACCUUGUCUAGGGAAAAUGUGGCAAUCAAUUCCCCAGUGUCCUGUUGUUUAUGGUCUGAAGAGGGUCUUGGCAGCAGCUAAGGUGAAAGAUGGUUUUUGCUUGGUGGCUGGCAUUGUGUGUUUGAAGCAAGUUCUGGGUGGAGGUACUUCUGUGCCCAUCCAUCUUCUUUGGAGGAAAUAGGGGUGCUAGCUGGCAUGUCUCUCUAUCACAAUAACCUUUUAAAUUAAACAUUUUAAAUGCCACAUUCUGCAGAUCUCUGAGCAUUUGAGGAUUGUUUGUCUAUUAGGUAUAUCUUAAUAGACAAACUUUCUUUCUAGUUACUUGUUUUAAGCUUAACUUUGAAAACAUAUAUAGGGGGCCAAGUAAGGCUUAUUCCUGUAAUUAAUUAUAUCAGUACUUAGUACAACUACAAUUAAAAAACUUGAUCAUUUGUAAGGAUGACUAUUUACUUGUAUUCUCUAACAGUCUUCCAUAUGUUAGCAGCUUUCGUAAGACUAGGACUUUAUGUUCCAUUCCUGUCAGGUUUAGCCCCAAAAAUAAUGAUUUUGAAUUGAAGCUUUUCUACUGUCAAAAUAAAACCCUCUGUUCAUAGAUAAUGUGCUCAGGAAAGAAACCAAAAUAGCCAUUCCAUGGGUAAAAACAGAACAAGUUUGUAUCAAAUUGUUAAGGCUGUCUCCUGCAAAGGCAAGGAAAAGUGAAAAGGGAAAGAUCCCAGGUGAAAUGGGAACAGGAGAAAGAGGCUUGUGAGUUGGUAUGUGACCCAUGAGCAGGAACUGAGGGAGCACUGAGGCCAGCACUGCCUUUGAGGGCCAUGGGGGCCUCUGCCCAAGUGCCCAAAUCUGGGAAAUAGACCCUCCUGGGGGAACAGACAUUCUAUUAUAGAAUAUAUACCUUAUUUAUCAAACACAUGUUCCUACUUAUUUAUAUUCUCUAGAAGCUUGGUGUUGAACAGUUGGCAGAGAAAUAAGUACUUAGGUGUAAAUCUCUAAGUCAGUUUUUGUUAAUCUGCAUAGAUCUUUGUAAGUAAAUUUGUUGCAACUCUGUGGGUUUGGUCCCAGGUUUUGGCACCAAAAUGUGAGUUUUGCAACUCUGGGGAAAGGUAUCCUGACUACCUGGGGAGUAAGGCAACACCUUGAGCUACUUAGGACAGCUCUGAUGGCUGGAGCUUCAAAGAGACAGCUCAAACCUGGAGGACGAGGUAUCCCGGACACCUUGAGCUGCUCAGGACAGCUCAGCCCUGGGGGUGUCCCAGACACCUGGAGCUGCUUAGGACAGCUCUGAUGGCUGGAGCUGCAAAGAGACAGCUCAACCCUGAAGGGAAGUUUUUCUGACUUCUCAGGAGAGUCUGACCUGGAAGUGUUUCAGCAGGGAAGGGUAUCCUGACUAUUCAGGAAAGUCAGGCCUGGUGCUGCCAGGAGUUCUGCAGGGAAGGGUAUCCUGACUGUUCAGGAGAGUUAGGCUAUACCUGGUGUAAUGAGGGAUGGUCUCCCUGCAAGAUAUAGCAAUCCUGCUCCUCUCCUGGAGAGCUGCUACAGCUGGGCUUUGCUCAGCCCCCACUUAAGGGGGCUUCCUAGCAGAGCUCUGCUUCUUCAGCCUAUGUCGUUGCUUCUUUUGCUUCACUCUGCAAAAGGACAAACCCCUGCAUAAAUGUAGCAAUGUCUCCGGCUCCAUUGAAAAUUGUUACUUUUUCAGCUUUCUCUUGCUCUGUCCUUUGAGGGGUAUCUCAACAAGGAUUUUCUGUUCAGCUACUCCUUGCUCUGUCCACUGAGGGACAUCUCAGCAAGGAUCAUCUGUUUAGCUCCUCCUUGCUCUGUCUACUGAAGGAUGUCUCAGCAAGGAUCUUCUCUAUGCCAGUGAAUAAAAAUCUUCACACCCAAAACUCUUUUGAGAAAGAGAUUUAUUGGGGAAGGAGGAGUCCAGGAGAGUAGCUGCCUCUACCAGGGUGGAGAGAACAGCCUACAACUGACCAGGCAGGGCAGUUUAUAUAGGAGGUUUUGGGGACAGAGUCAAUCAGUGAUUGGUUAGAUUUUUUUCUGCCCAGGGAUUGGCCAGUUUUGUGAGCUAGGGACAAAGAUGGCCCUGAUUUCAGAGCCAAACUGUGUUUCUUUCACUGGCCUUUCUUGGCUUUUUGACACUAAUUCUAAGGGCAGGGCACAUUUCUUUCACUGACUGAUUCUAGGGAUGAAGAGUGUUUCUUUAGUGCUGGUUUCAGAAUCAUAGCAAGUUUCCUUGGUUCUGGGUUUGGGGAUAAAGUGUUCAUUUCUCUGGCUCAGGUCCCAAACCCAGGCUGUAUUUUUUUCCCUGGUUCUGGGCCCCAGGGCCAGGGUUCUACUGUCCUGCUCUGUGAUUGGUUGGUUUCAUAAUUUAGUUGGCCAGGGCCAGAGAUCACUCUGAUUUGAUCCAAACUGUGUUUCUUUCACUGGCCUUAUCUGAGCCAUCUUUCCCUAGUUCUGGAUUGCAGGGUCAGGGUUUCUUUACCCAUCCCCUUUUCCCUAUAAUCUCCAUAAUCUUAAAUUUUUAUCACCACAUAGCUAAUAUUUUAAACAAGGGUUGAAUCACACAUACAAUAUGUUGUAACAGAUCUAACCAUAUGUGUUUAUCAUCAUUCAAAAAAUUCCAUACCAAUCCAAAAUAUUUCAGACUUGUUGUUUUCUUAGUCUAAAAGGAGAUAAAGUGAACAGAGAGCGAGCACAUUAGGAUUAAGAAGUGUAUGUACUCUUUAACCUUAGUAAAAUAUGGCUGCCAGCCAUGUGGCUGUCUACAUCAUGAUGAGGUCACCAGCCAAGAUGGAAGAGAGCCACAUGGCUGCUGUUUAAAAUAUGUUUUUCUAAACAAUAGAUACAUGCACAUGCAUACACAGUUGAAUCCAAGUUACAUUCACAUAUACACAAAGUUAAAGCUAGCUUACAUGCACACACAGAGUUAAAUUCAAGUCACAUACAUGUACACAUACACACACACACAUAUAUAUCAUAAACAGGAGUUGAAUAAAUUAAAGAAAGUGAAAAACAGUGUGUGCUGAGUUACAUGAAGAUGGCUUCUCUAUCUCUGACUCCUGUGUUGCAGCAGACCUAGGCAGAACAUUUAGAGGGGGAGAUCAAACAAACACAAGUAGGUCUUUUAGCAAAGAAAAAGUAAGAGAGUGGAGAAUUAUUUUUUGGUUUUAUGGCCUGCCUGGUCCAAGGAAUACUGAGGCCAGUCUCAUAUCCAAGGGAAUGGUUAGUGGCAGGUAGCCCCUGCCAGCGACCUAACUGCCAGUAUUGGCUGGAAGGCAAAGCUGUAGGUGAACAAGAAAAGCAGACUUGUUGCAGAUGGAAGAGAGAGGAUCUGUUAUGGAUGGAGCAGGUAGGUAGGUAGGUAGGGUCCCAGUGUGAAGUGAGUACCUUUUGGCAGGCCCUGCUAAGGUAUGCUACUAAGCAAACAUGCCACAUGCAAUAGAAUUAAAGAGAUUUAUUGGUGGGGGAGAGUGAAAGAAUGAAAGAGUGGAAAGCUGCACUGGAUUGGGGACUUGAGAGAGUCAGACAGAUGAAAGGAAGAGAAGCAGGAGAGAAAAGAAGAGGCAAGAGAGGAAAUUAGAGACAAAGAGAGGAGUAAGAAAUAAGGCAAUGAGAACAAGCUCUGCCUGGCAGGCCAGUGUCACAUAGCUGGUGGUGGAAAGGAACCUGGUGACAGGUAAUGAUGUAAUUGCUUUGGCAGAGGCAGGCUGCUUCUGCUGCCACUACAGAAACUAAGCAGGCUGCUGCUGCUACAGAAACUAACAUUGGAAUUCUUUAAUGAAAGAAGCAGAGUUAGAUGUGUAAGACCCCAGUUUUUUUCUCUAUUUGAGAGAGUUCAGUUAAUGAAAGGAGAAAUGCAGCUUAACAGAAUUUAUAAAGAAGAAAGAAUAAAGGGAGGGCUUGGAUUGAAGAUAAGAAAAAGCUUGAAAAUAGGGUACCCUCUUCUAUCUAUUGGUUUGCUGGCAGAAGUUGCAAAAGUCCCAUGAAAUAUCAGGAUAUAAGGUGCUGACAAGCAGUUAUUUGAAUUGAUAUCUAAGGAGUAUAGGGACCAGGUUUGACUGCAAAGAUGGUUAAGUUAAGCCUUUAAGUCAGGUGCUAGGUGUAGAGGUCUGCUGUUUGGGGAGCUUGCAGAUAUGGUGCUAGACACAUUUCCCACGUGUGAGGUAGAGAAAUAAGAUCCAAAGGUCUGGAAUUUCUAGCAUCCUGGUGCAGGUGCCUGAAUGCUAACACUAACAUCCUGUGACAAUGGGGGAAAAAGCCUUUUAGAAUCUAUUGACUUAGCAGACAAGUACCUUCUACCUAUCUACAAGCUAUGAAUGCUAUGACGUAGUGUCUUGAACUUUUGGAAAGCUUCCCCCAUCUUGCUGUACCUGCCUCUCUGAUGAAUCUACCCACUAAUGUAUUUUAAAGGUGCCUUGAGUUAUGAUUUUUUUCUGCUGUGUAAAACUAAAAUCUUUGUGAAACUGCUUCCAUGUUGAAGCAUGGAAUUUAGAGUAGUCUAAAUCUGUGUUUCUGUGUCACAGUCCCUCAAAAUAAUUCAAGAAUAAAUGAUCUCUUAUUCUCUUUAAGAUGAGAGCUGUACUUUUUAUAUUGACAAUUCUCAGGCCACAAUGUAGGACCCAGAGAAUGAUCCACUUUUUACUGGAGGAAUCACUUGAAUAGAAACCAGGUACCUGCAUGGACCAUUGAAUCCAGAACACCUGAUUUUAUUUCCUCAGGUGGAUUUUUGCUGAGUUCUUUCCAGGGCUCAAGACUACCCUUUCUUUUGUCAGAGAUCCAUUUUGUUUAUUCUGGGAUGGUUAAGAAGUAUCCUACUUUGGUAGAUACCUUUUUGGUCUGUGUACAUGAGCACAUACUGAAACCAUCAAACUGGACCACUCCAUGGGUAGAAAGAAAAGUUUGUUUGGGCAAAUUCAAAGCUGCCAUGGCUAUCUCUUGGGGAACAGAGCAUGUAACAAAAGGCAAGGAAAGGCUUGCCAAUUUUUUUUUUGUUUUGUUUUUCGAGACAGGGUUUCUCUGUGUAGCUUUGCGCCUUUCCUGGAUCUCGCACUGUAGACCAGGCUGGCCUCGAACUCACAGAGAUCCGCCUGGCUCUGCCUCCCGAGUGCUGGGAUUAAAGGCGUGCGCCGCCACCACCGUCCGGCCAAGGCUUGCCAAUUUUAAGGAAGCAAGUUCUGGGAUAUAGGUGGAGAGCUGGGGAGUGGGGAGGGGAUGCAAGACAGAAUAGCAUGGAAGCUAGCACGGAGACUUUUAUUUGUGUUGCAGAUAUAUGUUAAUAGGGAACUAGAUACUCCAUUGCCAGAAGUAGUUAGAUACAGGAGCAGAUAAGGGAGAUGAUGGCUCUUUCUGACAAACAGAAAUAUGCUUUACAAGUUUCUAAGGAAGACUUUUGUUAAUCCACCAUAAUCCUUCUCUUUACCUGUUCAGAGUCCAUACUGAGCAGAUCGCAGUAUGUCAUGUUAGUGGCACCGCCAUUUGAGGGGCCCACCUUGAACCUAACAGUCUGCUUUCAAAGUAUAUUGUGUUUAGUUGGAGCCUCCAGCUCAUUACUGCUUUACUUAGAAAACGUCAUUCCGGUCUCUCUCUUUUUAAAAAUCUCACCCACUCAGAGAGUCUUCAAACAAAGGGAAGGCACCAAAAAUCCCAGUUCUACAUUCUUGGUAGCUAUGUUAACUUCAUCCCCGGAAGUUGUCGGCUACUAAAGCCCCCACCUAAAGUGCUCAGCUUCUGACCAUACUUGGGCACAAACCCAGUAUCAUCACUCCUUGCCUAAAACCUAUGUAAUUUCUCUGCUUUAGUAUGGGUGUACAGUUUGGCCUCAAUCUCUGGGACUGGAGAACCCAUGAAGGAAUUGCUUUGCUCAAAUAAACCUGUUCUCAUAUUUUUUUCAA